UACGGGGGGUGCAAGCGUUGCUCGGAAUCACUGGGCGUAAAGCGUCCGCAGGCGGACCGGCCAGUCGAGUGUGAAAGCCCAAGGCUCAACCUUGGAACUGCGCUCGAAACUUCCGGUCUUGAGUUCGAGAGAGGGAAGCGGAAUUCCUGGUGUAGAGGUGAAAUUCGUAGAUAUCAGGAGGAACACCGGUGGCGAAAGCGGCUUCCUGGCUCGAAACUGACGCUCAUGGACGAGAGCGUGGGUAGCAAACAGG
rnacentral:rRNA from 1 species